rnacentral:rRNA from 1 species
AGAGUUUGAUCAUGGCUCAGGAUUAACGCUGUCGGUGUGCCUAAGAUAUGCAAGUCGAACGAAACUCGUGUUUAUGAAACUUCGGUUGAUUAAACACAUAUGAGUUUAGUGGCAAACUGCUGAGUAAUACGUAGGGAAUCUGCCUUGGAGACGGGUAUAGCUCAUCGAAAGAUGGGGUAAUCCCCGAUGGACCCUUGCACUUCGGUGAUGUAGGGUAAAUGGUUUAGAGCUUGCUCUAUUCGGCUCUGAGAUGAUCCUGCGGCCUAUCAGCUUGUUGGUGGGGUAAUGGUCUACCAAGGCUAAGACGGGUAGCUGGUCUGAGAGGAUGAUCAGCCAGACUGGGACUGAGACACGGCCCAGACUCCUACGGGAGGCAGCAAUCAGGAAUUUUGCGCAAUGGGGGAAACCCUGACGCAGCGACACCGAGUGGGGGAUGAAGGCCUUAGGGUUGUAAACUCCUUUUCUGAGUGAACAAAAAAAUGAGAUUAACUCAGGAAUAAGCACCUGCUAACUACGUGCCAGAAGCAUCGGUAAUACGUAGGGUGCAAGCGUUAUCCGGAAUUACUGGGCGUAAAGAGAUACGUAGGCGGUCAUUUAAGUCUUUUGUUAAAGCCUGGAGCUCAACUCCAGAAAGGCGAAAGAUACUGUUUGACUAGAGGCAGAGAGGGGGAAGUGGAAUUCCUGGUGGAGCGGUGAAAUGCGUUGAUAUCAGGAGGAACACUAGUGGCGAAGGCGACUUCCUGGCUCUUGCCUGACGCUGAGGUUCGAAAGCGUGGGUACAAAGCGGAUUAGAUACCCUAGUAGUCC